CUUAGCACCCCCUACCUACUUACAUAGGAAAGGAUUCAGAGGCCACAGCCUACCAAGAACUUUUUGCAGCCUUGAGAACUGGGAAGAGACACAGUUCCCCCCCUUGAAAACAAAUACUGGAACAAACAAGACUAAGUUAUUUAAUGGAAAACAUCCACAAACGCACAAUAACUUUUAAAUGAAAAUGUGAAUAAAGCUGCAUGCAACUGUGUACUUCGGAGGCUGCCAUGGGAGCAACCUUCCCUUCAAGACCAAGCUCCUUGUGACUCCUGGCAGUGUGCAAGCACGCAGUCUCUGCGCGUUAGGCAUCCCUCCCCAGGAGAGGAAAACACCUCGUAACCCAGAUGCUUCUUACUUUAAAAGAACGGCAUAAUAAAUAUUAAAAACUAAAGCUUAACCCUUGCCUCCCUAAAAAGCAGAGACAAGAGAGCAAAGGGAGAAGAACGAGGAAGAACCAGAGCGCGGUACCUACCCAAAACAAACCCUACAGCAAGCAACAGCAACCCAACCACCUGAGACCUACAGGGCGAGGAACUGCAACAUCCAUUUACCCACGGCGUGCGGCGAGGAGCGCUGCGGGGCGGCAUGGCUCAGGGACACCUUAAAUUCCCAGCCGCUGCCUUUAAAGGCAACCCAGGGCCUUCACUCCGCUGUUGCUCUUUGUGCAGCCGGCGAGGAGGAGGAGGAGGCGGCGGUGGGGGGGGAAGGAGGAAGCAGCGCAACCGGCUCGCAACGCGGAGCGGGUCUCGCAGCGCUUCCCCGUCUUCUACCCCGGGCGGGGGUCGAACCCGCGGCCCCUGGCGCAGGGGCGCACGUGCGCGCAGGCUUUUAUCACCAUCUGUGUGCAAACUCUCCAGCAGAAAUUCCGUGAUCUGGAAUGAUUUGGUCUGAUGUCAUAAGAAGCAUCUGCUCUGCACACCUUAGGAAGCGCAAAGAGGAAAAAGACCAGAGGAUGGAGCCUUCCCGGUCACUCAGUCCUAUCAAAGCCACUGCCUCCUGUGCGGACGUGAGGACACAACCCAUGUCCUUCACCUUUACAGGUGCAGGGCCUGCAUUUCUUCACUCUUUUCCUUGGAUGACUCAGAGCAGGGAUUAUUAGGAGCUCACAUUUCCUCGGCUAAAGUGCUUUGUUAAGCACUUCGUACACCCAGGUUAAAUCGAAGCAGCGUUUCUGAUCUGUGUAAGCUUUUGACUUGGUCCUGCAUCUUUGGCGUGUACAAAACACACAGCGUUUGAACUCUCCCUGCUCUGUUUCUUAAAUGGCAGCAGAAACUUUUUGUGUUUAAACAAAACAAUGCAGCCUCCCCCUGCAAUGUUUGUAACCAAGGAACUGGGGCAUCACAGGAGCAUGAGAAAACCUCGCUGAUUAAAACCAGGGAAAGAACUGACAGCGAAAGUGAUCUUUGUGGGGGUUUUUUCUCAUGGCAGAAUUCACAAUGAAGUGGCUGGUAAAAUGGGAGCAGCUGCUUCAGCCCUGCCUGUGCUGAACGCUGUCUUUAAUGCGCUGAAACUGCUUCCGCUGGUGUGUGGGGCCGGGCAUCUGCUUUAGAUGCAAAAACUCGAACUUUGGUGUGAUAAUUUGAUUUCUCCUGUUAAAAGACAUCUCGUAGCAAGAGCUUUCCCCCCACCUCUCACUGCUUUCACAAAGCAAAGUAAGUUUGUGCUAUUAUCAGCUUCCCUUGCCUCAUUUUUCUCUCCUUCUUGCGUCUCACUAAUACACAAGUGGUAUUAAAUAAAUAAUAAUGAUGCCAGUAGUGGCCUCUGCCGGGCCUCGGCGUUUGCUCCUUUUUGCUUCGA